rnacentral:tRNA from 1 species
CGCGGGGUGGAGCAGCCUGGUAGCUCGUCGGGCUCAUAACCCGAAGGUCGUUGGUUCGAAUCCAACCCCCGCAACCA